CCUACGGGAGGCAGCAGUGAGGAAUACUGCGCAAUGGGCGAAAGCCUGACGCAGCAACGCCGCGUGAGGGACGAAGGCCUUCGGGUUGUAAACCUCUUUUCUGGGGGACGAGACCAGGACGGUACCACAGGAAUAAGCCACGGCUAACUACGUGCCAGCAGCCGCGGUAAUACGUAGGUGGCUAGCGUUAUCCGGAUUCACUGGGCGUAAAGAGCGCGUAGGCGGUGUGCUAAGUUGGACGUGAAAGCCCCCGGCUAAACCGGGGGAGGUCGUCCAAUACUGGUGCACUUGAGGGUGAACGGGGAAAGCGGAAUUCCCGGUGUAGGGGUAAAAUGCGUAGAUAUCGGGAGGAACACCAGUGGCGAAGGCGGCUUUCUAGACCACUCCUGACGCUGAGGCGCGAAAGCGUGGGGAGCGAACGGGAUUAGAUACCCGGGUAGU
rnacentral:rRNA from 1 species